AACCCAUGCAUAGGACAUUUCCGUAACAAAUCUUUGAAUUUUUCCCAUGCUUCAUACAAGCUUUCAUCAUCCAUCUGCUUGAUUUAGAUUAAGUCAUUCUGAAGCU